rnacentral:lncRNA from 1 species
CUUUUACGUCGGCCUUCGCGAGCGUCUGGGCGGGUGGUAGGGAACAAUGGCGCUGUCUUCAGUGGCACAGUGGAGCAGCUCUGAAGAUGCAAAGGAUACACGAAAAAACUUCCAGAACAUCUGGGAGAAUAUUUAAUGGAAAAUCGCUUGGUUAAAACCUGACACUUUUAACAGGUGAACAGCGUUCUGAGUGUGGACGAGUAGCCAGUGAAGAUAAUGAAUGUCGAAUGUGACUGACUAGCAGCUUCAUUUUGAAGUGAGGGUCGCUGUCUGCCCAUUGAUAGAGGCCAGAUUGUCUUGGAAGUUCCAAAGUUGCAACGAUUUCUGGGCUAGUGCCACGAGGUUUACUUGACUGUUGUGUGAAAAGCUGAUAAGAAAACCAUCCAGAAAAAAGCUCUUCGUUUUACAAACAUGAAAAUAAAACAUGUAAUUUUGGAUUAUGUUCCUUUUUGUUAUUACUUUUAAAUAGGUCCUGAAAUAACAUGGGGAGCAUUAAAUGGAAAAUCCACUAAC